rnacentral:lncRNA from 1 species
CAUUGCAGCUACUUUGCUGUUGGUUUUUUCCACAAGGGUGGAAGCAUGUGUCUGAAAUUUGUUAUUUUACGGGAUUUGUUGCCUGCACCUUUAAAGAUUCCGAGAACAGCAUUAAUUACUCCCCGUUGGCUGUAGCUCCUGCAGGAUGUGUUCCUUACUGUCUUCCUUGAGCCAGCAAUGCUAAGCCCAGAAAGACAUACACAACAUCUCUAAUAUUAAUACAAUAGUGUCCAAAUAUUCUGCAGUUCCACAGCAUCUGUCACAGAUGGCUCCAGAAGAAAUUUGCUGCUAUUAUAAGAUCACAUUUAAAAUUUUGAUAUCUACUUUAAAAGGGCAAAGCCUGCCAACUGACAAAUAAUAAGCAGCCCUUUUGUAUUCCAUUCCAUUCUUAUCCAUUUUUCAUGCUUUAGCAAGGUGAAGCUUUCUAAUCAAGGAAAAGUAGCAUGGGCAAGUGUAGAUAAUAUAUUUUGAUGGAGGUUUGUAAUGAAUAUGGUAUUUAUUAAGACACAAGUCAUUAAAAGAAGCCUUGCGUGGUUGUUGCACAUUAUUUUAUUGAUUUUUUUAAUGCAUGGAUCAAGGCAAGGAUUAUACUUUACAAGAAACAUUUCUAUUUCUACUCUUUAAUUUGAUAAUGCAUCACCGUAUUUGUUGAUUUGUGCCAUUUAAGGUUUUGCUAUUUUGUGUGUGUGUGCACAUGCUGUGAAUUUUAGAUUAAGGGCGAGCUUUGAAAGAAGAGGACUGAAGCUGUAGAGAGUAAUGAUGAAAGUUUGGAGAAUAGAUUGAGGUCAUUGCUUCUGUUUUCGAUCUUUUAUUCGUGUGUGUGGCUAUAGGGUGGUCUGACUUGCACUGAAGUCAAUUAUAAAGCUGCUCUUUAUAGCAGCAGUGAAGGAAGAAGUUCCUCUUAGACGUAACAGAUGUCAAAUGGGUAGUCUUGGGGGAUGAAGGAUCAUCUUUAUCAACUGAAUAAAUACUGCCUGGGCAUCAGCAAUGAGAAUUCCCUUGGACCUCUGGCAGAUACGUGUCAGUCACGCUGGAGUUAACACUGUGACGAGAGGGGCGGUGGGGAAGGUGCUGUCCCUCCUGCGUGGGUGCAGCCCUUGGCGACGCUGCAUGGGCCACCUGCGGCCGGGGGCCCGCUGUCCGCAAAGCCCCGCUCCUUGGAGGGUGGCCUUGUCCGCCAGGAAACCGUGCUCGCGCCCCACACCUCCCACGGCUGCACAGUUAGGCUGCCUGACUUAGUGACUGCUCUCACUCGACAUCUGCACUACGGCCCCAGCUUUUUGUCUUCCUUGGAAAAAGAACAUGUGCGCUGAGUUAUAUGAGUUAUACAUUCUUAUGUAGUAACACAUGUCAUUAUUUUUUCAGUUCAAAAGAAAGUAAGAUCAGUGCUUGACCCCCAGAAC